CAUACCAUUUGCAAAAGCAGACAACCCAGGGUAUUCAAUAUGGGGUAUUUCCAGUAUUUUUUAGUAGCCACUUAGUCACAAACACCGGCCAAGGUUAGCAUUUAUAAUAGUUUGUGUAUUAAAAUGCAAAAAACAAUUAUGAACGCUAACUUUGGCCAGUGUUUGUGACUAAGUGGCUACUAAAAAGGAUUGGACAUACACCAUUUGCAAUACCUUGGGUUGUCUACUUUUGCAAAUGGUAAG